UACGUAGGGUGCAAGCGUUGUCCGGAUUCAUUGGGCGUAAAGAGCUCGUAGGCGGCUUUGUAAGUCGGGUGUGAAAACCCCAGGCUCAACCUGGGGACGCCACUCGAUACUGCAAUAGCUAGAGUCUGGUAGGGGAUCACGGAAUUCCUGGUGUAGCGGUGAAAUGCGCAGAUAUCAGGAGGAACACCGGUGGCGAAGGCGGUGAUCUGGGCCAGUACUGACGCUGAGGAGCGAAAGCAUGGGGAGCGAACAGG
rnacentral:rRNA from 1 species